UGCUAGCAGCCGCGGUAAGACGGAGGGUGCAAACGUUGUUCGGAAUUAUUGGGCAUAAAGCGCAUGUAGGCGGUCCGUUAAGUCAGUUGUGAAAUCCCUCGGCUCAACCGAGGAAUUGCAGUUGAUACUGGCGGACUUGAGGACGGUAGGGGUGAGUGGAACUCCAGGUGGAGCGGUGAAAUGCGUAGAUAUCUGGAGGAACACCGGUGGCGAAAGCGGCUCACUGGACCGUAACUGACGCUGAGGUGCGAAAGCUAGGGUAGCAAACGGGAUUAGAUA
rnacentral:rRNA from 1 species